GGAGGUAGUGACAAUAAAUCACAAUGCGGGACUCAUAGUCUUGCAAUUGGAUUGAGAACAACGUACAACUCUUAUCGAUAAGCCAUUGGAGGGCAAGUCUGGUGCCAGCAGCCGCGGUAAUUCCAGCUCCAAUAGCGUAUAUUAACGUUGUUGCAGUUAAAAAGCUCGUAGUUGAAGUGAGGGAGUGUGUAGUAGGACCGACUUGAUCGGAACUGCUGCAACCUCCCCCCUCCAAUCGGUGUAGUGGGGUAUUCAGUUAUUCUACUACUCCUUUGGUCGUUUACUGUGAGAAAAUUAGAGUGUUCAAAGCGGGCGUUUGUUUGAAUAGAUUAACAUGGAAUAAUGAUUGAAGGCUUUCGUGUUCGAUUUGAUUGGUUUGUUCAUGGAAGCAAGGUUAAAAGGAACAGUUGGGGGUAUUCAUAUUCACUAGUUAGAGGUGAAAUUCUCGGAUUUAUGGAAGAUGAACAAGUGCGAAAGCA
rnacentral:rRNA from 1 species